rnacentral:lncRNA from 1 species
UGUGUCUACCCAUGUCCCACAGAGUCUGCCAGGUAAAUGCCAGAUGGGCAGUGUGCCAUGCACUCUGUGCACCAUGCCCCUCCACCCAUAGGUGCUUUGCUGCUGGCGCUGUUAGCCAUCUCUGCCUCAUCAUCACUGUUUUGUAUUUGCUUUGUCUUCUGAGGCUAUGGCUUUUUAGGUUCCAGAAUAAUAAAAACCUAUACUGUA